GACGAACGCUGGCGGCGCGCCUAACACAUGCAAGUCGAACGGAGCUUAGAGAGCUCGCUUUUUAAGCUUAGCGGCGAAACGGGUCGAGUAACGCGUGAGUAACCUCGCCCUAGAGUCGGGGGAACAACAGUUGGAAACGACUGCUAAUACCGCAUAAGCCCACGGUGCCGCAUGACACUGAGGGAAAAGGAUUUAUUCGCUUUAGGAUGGACUCGCGUCCAAUUUAGCUAGUUGGUGAGGUAACGGCCCACCAAGGCGACGAUUGGUAGCCGGACUGAGAGGUUGAACGGCCACAUUGGGACUGAGACACGGCCCAGACUCCUACGGGAGGCAGCAGUGGGGGAUAUUGCACAAUGGGGGAAAACCCUGAUGCAGCGACGCCGCGUGGAGGAAGAAGGUUUUCGGAUUGUAAACUCCUGUCGUUAGGGACGAUAAUGACGGUACCUAACAAGAAAGCACCGGCUAACUACGUGCCAGCAGCCGCGGUAAAACGUAGGGUGCAAGCGUUGUCCGGAAUUACUGGGUGUAAAGGGAGCGCAGGCGGGAAGACAAGUUGGAAGUGAAAACCAUGGGCUCAACCCAUGAAUUGCUUUCAAAACUGUUUUUCUUGAGUAGUGCAGAGGUAGAUGGAAUUCCCGGUGUAGCGGUGGAAUGCGUAGAUAUCGGGAGGAACACCAGUGGCGAAGGCGGUCUACUGGGCACCAACUGACGCUGAGGCUCGAAAGCAUGGGUAGCAAACAGGAUUAGAUACCCUGGUAGUCCAUGCCGUAAACGAUGAUUACUAGGUGUUGGGGGAUUGACCCCCUCAGUGCCGCAGUUAACACAAUAAGUAAUCCACCUGGGGAGUACGACCGCAAGGUUGAAACUCAAAGGAAUUGACGGGGGCCCGCACAAGCAGUGGAGUAUGUGGUUUAAUUCGAAGCAACGCGAAGAACCUUACCAGGUCUUGACAUCCGAUGCAUAGCACAGAGAUGUGUGAAAUCCUUCGGGACAUCGAGACAGGUGGUGCAUGGUUGUCGUCAGCUCGUGUCGUGAGAUGUUGGGUUAAGUCCCGCAACGAGCGCAACCCUUAUUGCCAGUUACUACGUUAAGAGGACUCUGGCGAGACUGCCGUUGACAAAACGGAGGAAGGUGGGGAUGACGUCAAAUCAUCAUGCCCUUUAUGACCUGGGCUACACACGUACUACAAUGGCGUUAAACAAAGAGAAGCAAGACCGCGAGGCGGAGCAAAACUCAAAAACAACGUCUCAGUUCAGAUUGCAGGCUGCAACUCGCCUGCAUGAAAGUCGGAAUUGCUAGUAAUCGCGGAUCAGCAUGCCGCGGUGAAAUACGUUCCCGGGCCCU
rnacentral:rRNA from 1 species